GACGUAGGGCGCGAGCGUUGUCCGGAUUUAUUGGGCGUAAAGAGCUCGUAGGCGGCUUGUUGCGUCGGCUGUGAAAACCCGCGGCUUAACCGUGGGCUUGCAGCCGAUACGGGCGGGCUGGAGUUCGGUAGGGGAGACUGGAAUUCCUGGUGUAGCGGUGAAAUGCGCAGAUAUCAGGAAGAACACCCGUGGCGAAGGCGGUUCUCUGGGACGGUACUGACGCUGAGACGCGAAAGCGUGGGGAGCGAACAGG
rnacentral:rRNA from 1 species